ACGGCCAGAGGACAGCAUGCAGGCAAAACAAGAAUAGACAUCAACGGCAAUUUACAGAUGCAGUACAUGGCUCCGAACAGAUCCAUCCGUCUCCCAGCAAGCGGGAGAUGUUUUGGGACAGGAACCCCCAUAUGGACCACUGUCGUCACGGCCGGAGGACAGCAUGCAGGCAAAACAAGAAUAGACAUCAGGGCAAUUUACAGAUGCAGUACAUGGCUCAGAACAGAUCCAUCCGUCUCCCAGCAAGCGGGAGAUGUUUUGGGACAGGAACCCCCAUAUGGACCACUGUCGUCACGGCCAGAGAACAGCAUGCAGGCAAAACAAGAAUAGUCAUCAACGGCAAUUUACAGAUGCAGUACAUGGCUCAGAACAGAUCCAUCCGUCUCCCAGCAAGCGGGAGAUGUUUGGGGACAGGAACCCCCAUAUGGACCACUGUCGUCACGGCCAGAGAACAGCAUGCAGGCAAAACAGGGAUUGUCAUCAACGGCAAUCUACAGAUGCAGUACAUGGCUCAGAACAGAUCCAUCCGUCUCCCAGCAAGCGGGAGAUGUUUGGGGACAGGAACCCCCAUAUGGACCACUGUCGUCACGGCCAGAGAACAGCAUGCAGGCAAAACAGGGAUUGUCAUCAACGGCAAUCUACAGAUGCAGUACAUGGCUCAGAACAGAUCCAUCCGUCUCCCAGCAAGCGGGAGAUGUUUGGGGACAGGAACCCCCAUAUGGACCACUGUCGUCACGGCCAGAGAACAGCAUGCAGGCAAAACAGAGAUUGUCAUCAACGGCAAUCUACAGAUGCAGUACAUGGCUCAGAACAGAUCCAUCCGUCUCCCAGCAAGCGGGAGAUGUUUGGGGACAGGAACCCCCAUAUGGACCACUGUCGUCACGGCCAGAGAACAGCAUGCAGGCAAAACAGGGAUUGUCAUCAACGGCAAUCUACAGAUGCAGUACAUGGCUCAGAACAGAUCCAUCCGUCUCCCAGCAAGCGGGAGAUGUUUUGGGACAGGAACCCCCAUAUGGACCACUGUCGUCACGGCCAGAGAACAGCAUGCAGGCAAAACAAGAAUAGACAUCAACGGCAAUUUACAGAUGCAGUACAUGGCUCAGAACAGAUCCAUCCGUCUCCCAGCAAGCGGGAGAUGUUUGGGGACAGGAACCCCCAUAUGGACCACUGUCGUCAC
rnacentral:lncRNA from 1 species